rnacentral:snoRNA from 1 species
ACCCUGCAGAUUCCUUGCCCAUCAGACCUGAACACUUGUCUGAGUGGUUAUAGAUGUAGGAAAAGUGAAAUUGAAAUGGGCUUUCUUUUGUGACACACAAGCAAGGUUCAAACAAAA